rnacentral:rRNA from 1 species
AUGAACGCUGGCGGCGUGCCUAAUACAUGCAAGUCGAGCGAACAGAUGAGGAGCUUGCUCCUCUGACGUUAGCGGCGGACGGGUGAGUAACACGUGGAUAACCUACCUAUAAGACUGGGAUAACUUCGGGAAACCGGAGCUAAUACCGGAUAAUAUAUUGAACCGCAUGGUUCAAUAGUGAAAGACGGUUUUGCUGUCACUUAUAGAUGGAUCCGCGCCGCAUUAGCUAGUUGGUAAGGUAACGGCUUACCAAGGCAACGAUGCGUAGCCGACCUGAGAGGGGGAUCGGCCACACUGGAACUGAGACACGGUCCAGACUCCUACGGGAGGCAGCAGUAGGGAAUCUUCCGCAAUGGGCGAAAGCCUGACGGAGCAACGCCGCGUGAGUGAUGAAGGUCUUCGGAUCGUAAAACUCUGUUAUUAGGGAAGAACAAAUGUGUAAGUAACUAUGCACGUCUUGACGGUACCUAAUCAGAAAGCCACGGCUAACUACGUG